rnacentral:misc_RNA from 1 species
AAGGAUCAUUAUUGAAUAAACUUUUUCCAAGUUUUUUUCAUAUUCCCUGUUUAUAUUUAAUACGUUCCUUCCAUCGGACAGGUCUUUUAGGACCCUCUAGCUUGAGCAAAUGCUUUUGCUGGGGAGUUGCCGGUGGCAUUUCUAAAAAAAAAAACUUUUGUUAUAUUAUGAAAUGUCUGAAUAUACUUUUUAAAUUAUAUAAAACUUUCAACAACGGAUCUCUAGGCUCUU